GUGCAGGUAUGCUCAGCUUUUUUAUCUCACAUUGGGUUGAUAAAUCAUCUUUCUGAUGGCUACUCUUGGACACUUCUUCACUGUAUUAAUGGCGAGCAGAAACUUCAUCCAUCAGAAUCCACGGGGUUAAUGUGGCAGAGCCGCCUUUAGUUGCUACUUGCAACAAUUAUUGUAGACGGGGGGACUGUGUUGGCUCCUUAUUAAUUCUAUAGAAGAGUCUGCACCAUAUCAAGUGGUUUGUGAUCUAUAUUUUCGCAACAACUGUCCUUGGAAUAAAAUAAAGCUAAAAGCUUGACAAAGUGGAAUGAAGCAGAUUGCAAAUAUUCCUGGAAUUCAGAAAAGGAAACUUGGGGUUGCCUGGUUGAAAACAGAUAGCAAAUAUGAUAGCAAGAAAUUGAUCUUCUUCAGGGGCAUGAGUACGGAUAUUAUUAUUAUUAUUAUUAUUAUCAUUAUUAUUUAUUUAUUUAUUUAUUUAUUUUAAUUUGGAAAAUCUCUCUUAUUUAUUGGGUUUCUUAGAUAAUCGUGUAAUUGGAUUGUUUCUUAGUUGUGGUGAAGUACCCGAAGAGUAAUGUUUCAUGAUUUUUUCCAUCCCUUGGAAUCUGUUUUCUUAAACUUGCUAUCUUUACACGUUUAACGUUUGUGCAUAUGUUCUUUCUGUUAGUUAUUGUGUCUCUGGGUGACUGGGGCUACUGCUUCUGGUAUGCAUAUUAGUAAUUUCAGUUCAAUUGUGCCUUUAGACGUUAGUCUUUGAGGAUUGAGAAGCUCGUUGUAUCUGCCAUUCCCAGUGUAGUGGAGACAGGGACAAAGGGUUUGGCUUCGAACCCCUGGAAGACGAUGAGAGACAAAGUUUGAGCAAAACUAACCUCAUGGUGUUUCCCGGAUCCAUAUGGCUGAAAAAGCCUUUGUAUCAGAAUACCAUGAAAUAAGAAAAUGGUGAGGAUUUUGUUUUUGAGAUUUUUUUCAUCAUUGUUUAAAUGUUUGGCUGUGUUUUAA